rnacentral:piRNA from 2 species
UGAAAUGUGCUAGCAGCUCCUGUCUCAAAUC